rnacentral:rRNA from 1 species
CCUACGGGAGGCAGCAGUGGGGAAUAUUGCGCAAUGGGCGAAAGCCUGACGCAGCGACGCCGCGUGAGGGAUGAAGGUCUUCGGAUCGUAAACCUCUGUCAGCAGGGAAGAACGGUCACUGUGCUAAUCAGCAGUGAAUUGACGGUACCUGCAAAGGAAGCACCGGCUAACUCCGUGCCAGCAGCCGCGGUAAUACGGAGGGUGCGAGCGUUAAUCGGAAUUACUGGGCGUAAAGCGCUCGUAGGCGGUAUGUCAAGUCAAGGGGGAAAUCCCCGCGCUCAACGUGGGAACUGCCUUUGAAACUGGCAAACUGGAGUGUGUGAGAGGAUAGUGGAAUUCGAGGUGUAGGAGUGAAAUCCGUAGAUAUCUGGAGGAACAUCAGUGGCGAAGGCGACUAUCUGGCACAUAACUGACGCUGAGGAGCGAAAGCGUGGGUAGCAAACAGGAUUAGAUACCCCGGUAGUC